AAUCCUCCCUUAAUGCAUUGUUAUCAAUAUAGGCUCGAUUCAUUUUAUCCACAGUACAGACCUCUUUCCCUUUCUCCUUUGCAAAUGUAUUCAUGAAAGAUCUUAAAUCCUCCCUCAAUGCAUUGCUAUCAACAGAGAAUUGAUCCAAUUUCCCUUCCAGCACAUUAAAUCUUUCCUCUAUUGAAUUAAAUUUUUCAUCCACAUUCUCCUGCAUAACCCUAAUUCUUUCUUCCAAUUCAGCAACCCUAAACAACUCAGAACUAACCACCAUGGACCCCAUAGAUUAGUCUUUAUUGAGACAGUAAUGCAGUAAAACCCAAGAACUUCAAGAACGGGGUUUCAGUAUGAUAUGGAGUUUCAAGAAUUUCAAGAAACAAAGAAAUCAAGAAAGAACAUAGAUCUAAUUCUCGGAAAGUGGAAAUUUUGAGGAAGAAAGAAGAUUUCAAGAAAUUGAAGAAAAUACGAAUUCCCACCAAAACCAUAACUUUAGGGUUUGUCCCUUAAAGAAAAGAACUGACAGGAAGAAUAAAGAAGGAAGAAGAAAUAAGGGGAAGAAAGGGAAGAAAUUUCUAGAAAAGAAGGAAAAGAAAUCUCAGAUAUGAAAGAAGAAGAAAUAGAGAAAGAUGGAAGAAGAAGAAGAAGAAGAACGGGAAGAUACUGCUGUUUUGCCCGAGAGAUGGGAUGUUCUAGGUCUUGGUCAAGCUAUGGUAGAUUUUUCUGGCAUGGUGGAUGAUGAAUUUUUGGAAAGAUUGGGAUUAGAGAAGGGAACAAGGAAAGUUGUGAACCAUGAAGAGAGGGGUAGAGUUUUGCGAGCUAUGGAUGGUUGCAGCUACAAGGCAGCUGCUGGAGGAUCUCUUUCAAACAGCCUAGUGGCAUUGGCAAGGCUUGGCUGCAAGCCCAUUUCAGGCCCUGCCUUAAAUGUAGCCAUGGCAGGCAGUGUAGGGAGUGAUCCAUUAGGUGGCUUUUACAGAGCAAAAUUACGUCGGGCAAAUGUGAAUUUUCUCUCUGCACCUGUCAAAGAUGGGACAACAGGAACAGUGAUAGUUCUCACAACUCCAGAUGCUCAGCGAACCAUGCUUUCAUAUCAGGGUACAUCUUCAUCUGUUAAUUACGACCCAUGCUUGGCUACAAUAGUUUCCAAGACAAACAUAUUAGUAGUUGAAGGUUAUUUGUUUGAACUUCCUGAUACAAUUAAAACAAUUACAAGAGCAUGUGAAGCAGCACGCAGAAGUGGUGCAUUGGUGGCAAUCACAGCUUCAGAUGUGUCCUGCAUUGAGAGACAUUAUGAUGAUUUCUGGGAAAUUGUAGAGAACUAUGCAGAUGUUGUGUUUGCAAACAGUGAUGAAGCAAGAGCUUUAUGUGAUUUUGCCCCAGAGGAAAGUGCAAUUUCAGCUGCAAGGUAUCUUAGUCACUUUGUUCCCCUAGUAUCUGUUACAGAUGGGCCAAGAGGCUCCUACAUAGGUGUAAAAGGAGAAGCUGUAUAUAUUCCUCCUUUCCCAUGUGUACCAGUCGACACCUGUGGUGCCGGGGAUGCAUAUGCAUCUGGUAUUUUGUAUGGCAUUUUGCGGGGCAUAUCAGACCUGAAAGGAAUGGGUACACUAGCAGCUAGGAUUGCAGCCACAGUUGUUGGGCAACGGGGUACUCGACUUAGAGUUCAUGAUGCUCUUAAGCUAGCAGAGUCCUUUGCAUUUAAUCUCGAGAUUAACACCAUUAGGUCAGAUGUUGGUUCUGAUCAUGUUUCCAGCUUAUAACAUGGUGGCUCUAGCCAUUUUGAUUUCUCAAUUCUUUUUGGAGACCGUAUUCUCUUUGUCAAUAGCCUUUUACCUGUGUACAUUAUAUUAUAAAUAUAUUACAUUGAUUACAUUGAAAAUGAAUUUGCCAUGUUCAUCUAAAAUUGUCAGGAGUAAAGUUCUUGUGCAAGAGAAUACCACCUAAAAAUGUUCUUUAUUUGCUCAGCUAACUUGAAUUUUGACUUGUGACAUCAAUAGAAAUUUAUCAGAACUGUUUUUAUUUAGGCAAGAAAAGGCAUUGAGAUGCAAGAAUUAUUUCUUCAUGAUAUGAGCAAAGAUUGGGAUGAUAAGCCCCUAGCAGGAUAAUUUUCUUAAUUUGCUUCCCAGGCAAAGCAAACAAGUGUUGCUCCAAGAAACAAGGGCCUGAGAAAGAGGGAAAGAAGAGAAUUAACCAGCUGCCAAUCUUGGCAAACCUGCAGCAGAUCACUGGUCCUCUGGUAGCUAAGAAAUGAAAGGACAACUGAUAUCUGAGUUUGGACAAACAGCCCUUAAUGUGAUGUCCUCGAAAAAUUUAUUCAGGUGAUAGGGUUUGGUGCAAUGGGAAUGGUCCCAUUCCCACAUAGCCAAAUGGCCUCUGAUAGUGAAUUGGUGGUUACGCAUGCCAUAUGCUACAUUUAAGUUGUCUGCCAAUUCAUUCUUUGGCAUAAGCUGGUGGUUGGCCUCACAACUUAAUCACAGGGAAAGAAGCUUAUUUUCUCGCUAAAGCAGGAAUAGAUAGGGUGCAAUUUUGUUGGUCAUAAUUGUGCCAGCUUGAAGCAACAAAUUUAGGAAUUUAUCUUCAUUUCAAGAUUUAGGUUGCCAAUUGUAAAUACUUUAAGUUUCUUAUUAAUGGUU
rnacentral:misc_RNA from 1 species